rnacentral:snoRNA from 8 species
AAGACUAUACUUUCAGCGAUCAUUUCUAUAGUUCGUUACUUGAGAAAUGUGUGUCUAAAGUGGUAGGUCUCGCUAUCCAUGAUGACGAUUCAAGAUAUUCCCGUUCAGAGCAUGAAUCUGGUGGCUAGAUAUGACUUUGCUCAUGGUCUUCCACCUU